rnacentral:lncRNA from 1 species
CAUUAAACAGGUUGGGCUCAAGUCAUGAAACAUGGGGUGGUGCCAGGUUUGUGGGAUGAACACGUUUUUCUGGGGUCGAAAAAACCCACAAAACUGGGGUAAAAAACUUCGUUCAUAGUUUACACAUAAACUGUGAAAAACCGCACCAUGUCAGCUGUUGCGGUAAUCUUUAUCCAACAUGAACUUUUGUUUACGUUAAGUUGUUUGCCAUGGCAAUAUUUAUUCUUUUGUGCAAGUCUCAGGACAAAUGGGCUUCAUAACCGGAAGUGUGAAAAUCAAGUCAUUUAUCAAUAAUAUCAUAUCAUUUCUUUACUUUCUAGACAAAUUGUCUUUCUCACUAACUUUGCCGACUAACAUUACUCCAUCUUGAACAACAAUGCAUGAACAGUAUGAAACAAAGCUUUCUAUUGGUUGAUUAAUCUUUUGACUUUUGUUAAAUUCU